rnacentral:rRNA from 1 species
AACGAACGCUGGCGGCAUGCCUAACACAUGCAAGUCGAACGGGACCUCCGGGUCUAGUUGCGCUCGGGGGCGUAACGCGUGGGAAGCUGCCCGUAGGUACGGUAUAAUUCCCUUUAAGGGGUGCUAAUACCGGUUAAUGUCUUCGGACCAAGGAUUUAUCGCCUUGGGGUGGGCACGCGUUGGUUUAGCCAGUUGGUAGGGUAAGAGCCGAUCAAGGCGUCGAUCCAUAGCUGGUCUGAGAGGAUGAUCAGCAACACUUGGACUACGACACGGCCCAGAAUCCUAGGGGAGGGAGGAGUGUGUAAUAUAGGACAAUGGGCGAAGGCCUGAUCCAGCAAUGCCGCGUAAGUCAUGAAGGCGGUAGGGUUGUAAAGCCCUUUUACACGGGGUGAUAAUGACGGUACCGGGAGAAUAAGCUCCGGCUAACUCCGUG